rnacentral:tRNA from 2 species
GCCGCGUUCGUCUAAUGGUAAGACUCUGGCCUCCAAAGUCAGUUAUGGCGGUUCGAAUCCGUCACGCGGUGCCA